rnacentral:rRNA from 1 species
ACUCCUACGGGAGGCAGCAGUGGGGAAUAUUGCACAAUGGGGGGAAACCCUGAUGCAGCCAUGCCGCGUGUGUGAAGAAGGCCUUCGGGUUGUAAAGCACUUUCAGUAGGGAGGAAGGUAGUGUAGUUAACACCUGCACNAUUUUGACGUUAACCUACAGAAGAAGCACCGGCUAACUCCGUGCCAGCAGCCGCGGUAAUACGGAGGGUGCGAGCGUUAAUCGGAAUUACUGGGCGUAAAGCGCAUGCAGGCGGCCUGUUAAGUCAGAUGUGAAAGCCCGGGGCUUAACCUCGGAAUUGCAUUUGAAACUGGCAGGCUAGAGUCUUGUAGAGGGGGUGAGAUUGUCAGGUGUAGCGGUGAAAUGCGUAGAGAUCUGAAGGAAUACCAGUGGCGAAGGCGGCCCCCUC